CCCUUAGAUGUCCUGGGCUGCACGCGCGCUACACUGAUGCGUCCAAUAAGCACCUAACCUAAUCCGAAGGGACCGGGUAACCUUAGCAAAGCGCAUCGUGAUGGGGAUAGAUUAUUGCAAUUAUUAGUCUUGAACGAGGAAUUCCUAGUAAGCGCAAGUCAUCAGCUUGUGUUGAUUACGUCCCUGCCCUUUGUACACACCGCCCGUCGCUCUUACCGAUUGAGUGAUCCGGUGAAUACUUCGGACUGCAACCGGUGCGGUUUCCGUACCCUUUGCAAAAAGUUGAAUAAACCUUAUCACUUAGAGGAAGGAGAAGUCGUAACA
rnacentral:rRNA from 1 species